GAUGAACGCUGGCGGCGUGCUUAACACAUGCAAGUCGAACGGUGAAGGCGGAGCUUGCUCUGCUGGAUCAGUGGCGAACGGGUGAGUAACACGUGAGCAAUCUGCCCCUGACUCUGGGAUAAGCGCUGGAAACGGCGUCUAAUACUGGAUACGAGCUGCGAAGGCAUCUUCAGCAGCUGGAAAUAACUUCGGUCAGGGAUGAGCUCGCGGCCUAUCAGCUUGUUGGUGAGGUAACGGCUCACCAAGGCGUCGACGGGUAGCCGGCCUGAGAGGGUGACCGGCGACACUGGGACUGAGACACGGCCCAGACUCCUACGGGAGGCAGCAGUGGGGAAUAUUGCACAAUGGGCGAAAGCCUGAUGCAGCAACGCCGCGUGAGGGACGACGGCCUUCGGGUUGUAAACCUCUUUUAGCAGGGAAGAAGCGAAAGUGACGGUACCUGCAGAAAAAGCGCCGGCUAACUACGUG
rnacentral:rRNA from 1 species